rnacentral:sRNA from 2 species
AUCUACAGCGCCGUGACAGCUUCAAUAUACUCAGAGAAACGAAGUAUCGUUUGUCUUACGGGGGACAAAUCGGGGUUUGGACUGCGUUGCCGAAAUUCCCUAUAGUCGAUAUUUCAGCUCUAUGCUUUAUCCCUUGCCGGACCCGCCAGUCUUUAUCCCUCAUCCUCUCUUCAGGUCUUCCCCGCGAUGGUCCUUCAAGACCUGGGACGGCGCAUUAACGCCGCCGUCAACGACCUAACAAGGUCAAACAAUGUCGACGCACAGGCAUUUGAUGCGAUGAUCAAAGAGAUAUGUGCCGCCCUCCUAUCAGCCGACGUCAACGUUCGCCUCGUCCAGUCCCUCCGCAAAUCCAUAAAAGCCGCUGUGCCAUUCUCUUCCCUCCCACCAGCUGUAAAUAAGAAACGCUUAAUACAAAAAACUGUAUUUGAUCAGCUGGUGGCUCUGGUGGAUCCCCAUGCGGAGCCCUUCAAGCCAAAAAAAGGGAGGUCGAACGUGAUCAUGUUUGUUGGCCUACAGGGUGCGGGUAAGACCACAACAUGCACGAAGCUGGCUAGGCAUUAUCAGACUCGUGGUUUUAGAGCCGCUCUUGUUUGUGCAGAUACCUUCCGUGCCGGUGCCUUCGAUCAGCUCAAGCAGAACGCGACCAAGGCAAAAAUUCCGUACUUUGGCAGCCUGACACAGACAGAUCCCGCUGUGGUUGCCGCAGAGGGAGUGGCGAAGUUCAAGAAGGAGCGUUUUGAUAUCAUCAUUGUCGAUACAAGUGGUAGACAUAAGCAGGAAGAAGAUCUGUUUGUAGAAAUGACACAAAUUCAAACCGCCAUAAAACCGGAUCAAACCAUCUUGGUUCUUGACGGCACCAUCGGACAAGCCGCGGAAUCGCAAUCCGCCGCGUUCAAAGCAGCAGCAGAUUUCGGUGCUAUAAUUAUCACCAAAACUGACGGCAACGCCGCUGGUGGAGGCGCGAUCUCCGCAGUCGCUGCAACCCACACCCCCAUUAUAUUCCUGGGCACAGGUGAGCACAUGCUAGAUCUCGAACGAUUUUCUCCAAAACCAUUCAUCCAAAAACUCCUGGGCAUGGGCGAUAUGGCUAGUUUAGUCGAACACGUCCAGGCCGUAACGAAGGACUCCGCAACCGCCAAAGAAACCUACAAACACAUCUCAGCCGGCAUAUUCACGCUGCGCGAUUUCCGCGAGAACAUCACCUCCAUCAUGAAGAUGGGACCUCUCUCCAAGAUCUCCAGCAUGAUACCAGGCCUAUCAAACAUCACAUCCGGUCUCGACGACGAAGACGGCUCCCUCAAACUCCGCCGCAUGAUCUACAUCUUCGACAGCAUGACCGCCGCCGAGCUCGAUGGUGACGGUAAAGUAUUCGUCGACCAACCUUCCCGCAUCGUGCGCGUGGCAUGUGGCAGCGGAACCACUGUUCGCGAAGUCGAAGACCUUCUCUCCCAACACAAGAUGAUGGCUGGGAUGGCGAAGAGGGUUGGCGGGCAGAAGAAGCAGAUGCAGCGUGCGCAGAAUAUGCUCAAGGGCGGUAAUAAGGAGCAGC